AAAAAAAGGUCCCAAGUAGAUGAGGAGUUGGUUUCCCACCUAAAUUGUUGAAGCAUGGAAACAAGAGAAACCCUAAAACCCCAAUUUGGCGCCAGAUUUCAAAACCCACAAGAAAUCCCUACCCACCGUUUUUUUUUCCCAAAUCCAAACCCUAUUCCAGUUUCUCUCUCCUCACUCUUUUAUUUUUGUUCCUCGUUCUAUGUAAAAAUUAGUAUGUGUUCGUAAAAAAAAAAGUCUCGCUUUUGCUGAGUACUUCCUGUGGGAAUCGAUCUGUUCUUCUUGACCAGAGAAGAUGGAGAUAGCGCCGAGGGAACUUCCGGAAACGGAUGGCAAUCCGCCUGCAAAUUGCGAGUGUGAGGAGGAAAAUGGGAGCGAUUAUGUUCUCCCAUACGGAAAGAAGCAAUCUUUAGAAAAUCAAGAACCUGACGAUGAAACUGGCAUAGGAAACGAUGAGAAACUGGGAGUAAUUAAAGAUGAAGUGGCUGAUGGGAAGGAUUCUCGUAGAAGGGGUGGAAAGAAAGGAAGCAGAUAUGUUAACAAAGAUGAGGAAAUCGCAGACAAAGAGCAGGAAAAUGGACAAGUUGUAGAAAGUGAAGGAACUUCUUCAAAGAAAAGGGGUAGAAAGCCUUGGGAGAAGACAAAUGAAAUAUCUUACAGGAAGAGACUAAGAGCUAAUGAAAAGAAGGUUAGCUAUGCUGAGGAUAGUGAAGAAGAUGAAGAUAUUUCACUUAGGAAGAAGCGGAGUAGAAAGGGCAGAAAAAGCGUUACAGUCACAGAAAGAGAUGGUAUGGAAACAUUAGAAAGUAAUGAAAAUGGAAAUUCUGUUGAAGGAAAUCAAAAGAAAGCUACGCAAACAGGGAAAAAGAGGCACAAUAAGAAGAAGCGUGAUGAUCAAGUGGAUCCUCGGACUAUCACUGGUAACACGGUUGAUGCAUGGAGGGCUCAGAAAACCUCGCAGACAUUUAAAGAGUUCGUUGCGGAGGUUUGCGUAAUGUGCCAUCAGUGCCAGAGGAAUGACAAAGGUGCAGUUGUUAGGUGCCAGAAUUGCAAAAAGAAGCGUUAUUGUCAUCCCUGCUUGUCAACGUGGUAUCCUAAGAUGACACAUGGUGAAGUUGCUGAAGCUUGUCCAGUUUGUCGUAAAAAUUGUAAUUGCAAAGGUUGCUUGCGUGAUACUCCAGCCAAAGAGCUGGAAAGUCUUAAAAUGCUCCAAGUCACUGAUGAUAAGAAAGUUUUGCAUUCUAAAUAUUUGCUUCAAGCACUUCUUCCCUUCUUGAAGCAGUUAGAUGAACAACAAAUAAUGGAGCGAGAGAUCGAAGCUAGGAUACGAGGUGUGUCACUUGCGAAGUUAGAGAUUCAAAAUGCUAAUUGCCCUAUGGAUGAACGCAUGUACUGUGACAACUGCAGAACCUCUAUCUUUGAUUAUCACAGAAGCUGUUCAAGCUGCUCUUCUGAUCUAUGCCUUAUAUGUUGCCGGGAGAUCCGUAAUGGACAAUUGCAGGGUAGUGGUCCGGAGGUGGUUAUGGAGUAUAUUGAUAGAGGGUUUGAAUAUUUGCAUGGGGGAAUGGGGGAAGUCAAUUUAGCAGUUGAAAAGCCACCUGAAAAUAGUUCUAAGGAUUUCCCAAGUUCAAACUUCGAAUGGAAAGCAAAUGAAGAUGGAAGCAUUGUUUGUGGUUGUGGUUUUGGCAUCCUAGAGCUGAAAUGUUUGUUCUCAGAAUAUUGGGUUUCAGAAUUAGUUAAGAGAGCGGAAGUUGUUGCACAAAGAUAUGAAUUAGACGAGGUUAAAAAUCCAGCUGAAAGAUGUGCCUGUUUUAACUCCAAAGGAGAUCUUGACUUGGAAAAUAGUCAGUUGUUAAAAGCAGCAUGUCGUGAGGAUUCAGAAGACAAUUAUUUAUACUAUCCUAAGGCAAGAGACAUCAAAGAAAAUGAUCUGAAGCAUUUUCAGUACCAUUGGACGAGGGCUGAGCCUGUGGUUGUUAGCAAUGUUCUUGAAACUGCAACUGGCUUAAGCUGGGAACCAAUGGUCAUGUGGCGUGCCUUUCGCCAGAUAAGAAAUGAAAAACAUGGCACGCUUUUGGAUGUGAAGGCAAUUGACUGUUUGGAUUGGUGUGAGGUAGAUGUUAACGUCCAUCAGUUCUUUCUAGGAUACUUGACGCCUGAAUUUGACAUAAAGAAUUGGCCUCGGAUACUGAAAUUGAAAGAUUGGCCUCCAUCUAGCAUGUUUGAUGAACAUCUGCCACGACAUGGUGCUGAAUUCAUCUGUUGUUUGCCCUUCAAGGAGUAUACACAUCCUCAAAUUGGACCUUUGAACCUUGCUGUCAGAUUACCCAAGGAGUCUUUGAAGCCGGAUAUGGGGCCCAAGACAUAUAUUGCUUAUGGAUGCCAUCAAGAACUUGGUCGUGGAGAUUCUGUAACAAAGCUUCAUUGUGACAUGUCUGAUGCGGUCAAUGUUUUAACUCAUACAGCUGAAGUGCCCUUUAAACCUGAAGAUCUUGCUGCAAUAGAAAACUUGAAAAAAGCGCACAUAAAGCAAGAUCAAAGAGAAAUUUUUGGAAACAAUCAGCUUGCAGAGGAAGAUGUUGAUGGAAAAACGCAUGGUGGUUUGUCUGGCAGCUUGCCUACAAAUGCCAAGGAAGCUGGGGCCGUUGAAAACCAAAAUGAGGAUUCUGGGUUUAAUGAUAGUUGUUUUUCAAAGAAAUCAAAGCUGAAAAAGAGCAUGAGCGUAGAAGUCUUUCAAGGUAUGAGGGCUGAGCCUGAGAGUGACGUGGAAUUUACAGUUGAUGUUGAUUACCAGAAAGUGGAGUCUAAUUUAGUUGAGCAUACCUUUUCAGAAAAAUCAGAGCUGAAAAGUAAUGACUUAGAAGUUCAGAGUAGAUGCAUUGAGAAUGUCCCAAAUUGCAGAAAUGAGUCGGAAGGUCCAGAUGAGGGAGGUGCUAUUUGGGACAUUUUCCGUCGAGAAGAUGUUCCUAAGUUGCAGGAAUAUCUUAACAAGCACUUCAAAGAAUUUAGGCACAUACACUGCUGCCCAUUGCAGAAGGUUGUUCAUCCUAUACAUGAUCAGACCUUUUAUUUGACUCUGGAGCAUAAGAGGAGGCUGAAAGAGGAAUAUGGCAUUGAGCCAUGGACGUUCGUCCAGAAACUUGGAGAUGCAGUCUUUAUUCCUGCAGGCUGUCCUCAUCAAGUGAGAAACUUGAAGUCAUGUAUAAAGGUAGCAAUGGACUUUGUUUCACCAGAAAAUGUUGGUGAGUGCAUUCGUUUGACGGAGGAAUUUCGUGUGCUUCCCCCAAAUCAUCGGGCUAAGGAAGACAAGUUGGAGGUGAAGAAAAUGUAUCUUCAUGCUAUGAAAUGGGCUGUGGAAGUUUUGGAGCAUGGCAAAGAGAUCUGAGAACGGGGAAAACAAUUGGCUUUGGUAGAUUGCGCAAUGGCUUGUAUCUUCUCGAAAAAGGUUGCAGUCCUCCAGCUCCCGGUAUCCCUCGAGCCCUAUUAGGAAAUCACGCCCUGAGAUUACAGAAGUAGAGGAAAAGCCAACUGCCAAGACUCGGACAAAAAAGAAGCGGAAAUCUUCCAAGCGGAAGAAUACACGCUAGUCUAUGCCCCUGUUGAGGCAUUGUUCGUUUUUCCACAGGAUACCACUGGAAUCUGCAGAUUUUAUUUUUCGUUUAGCAGGAAGCUUUUCUUUUUGUAUAUUAGAUCAUUCUAGGAAAUCUCCUGUUCGGAUCCCUUGUCAUAUGGAAUCUUUUCUAUUGAUCUACGAAAGAAGUGGAAAAUGCUCUAAAUUAUUACAUUUAAUUAAUUUUAGUUAAGGUGCCAUUUGUUGCUAUUAA